GACGAACGCUGGCGGCGUGCUUAACACAUGCAAGUCGAACGAAGUGGCGAACGGGUGAGUAACGCGUAAUCAACCUGCCCUUCAGAGGGGGAUAACAGUUGGAAACGACUGCUAAUACCGCAUAAUGAAGGAGGGGAUUGCGUCUGAUGAGCUGGUUGGCGGGUUAACGGCCCACCAAGGCGAUGAUCAGUAGCCUGUCUGAGAUGAUGAACGGGCACUUUGGGACUGAGACACGGCCCAGACUCCUACGGGAGGCAGCAGUGGGGAAUCUUCCGCAAUGGACGAAAGUCUGACUGAGCAACGCCGCGUGAGUGAUGACGGCCUUCGGGUUGUAAAGCUCUGUUAAUCGGGACGCGGUACCGGAAUAGAAAGCCACGGCUAACUACGUGCCAGCAGCCGCGGUAAUUC
rnacentral:rRNA from 1 species